UACGGAGGGUGCGAGCGUUAAUCGGAAUUACUGGGCGUAAAGGGUGCGUAGGCGGUGAUAUAAGUUAUGAGUGAAAGCCCUGGGCUCAACCUAGGAUUUGCUUGUAAUACUGUAUAACUGGAGUAUAGGAGAGGGCAGUGGAAUUUCCGGUGUAGCGGUGAAAUGCGUAGAUAUCGGAAGGAACACCAGUUGCGAAGGCGGCUGUCUGGCCUAAUACUGACGCUGAGGCACGAGAGCGUGGGUAGCGAACAGG
rnacentral:rRNA from 1 species